rnacentral:rRNA from 1 species
AUUUGGCGGACGGGUGAGUAACGCGUAUGCAACCUACCUACAACAGGGGAAUAACCCGUUGAAAGACGGACUAAUACCCCAUAACACAGGGAUCCCGCAUGGGAAUAUUUGUUAAAGAUUUAUCGGUUGUAGAUGGGCAUGCGUUCCAUUAGCUAGUUGGUGAGGUAACGGCUCACCAAGGCAACGAUGGAUAGGGGAACUGAGAGGUUUAUCCCCCACACUGGUACUGAGACACGGACCAGGCUCCUACGGGAGGCAGCAGUGAGGAAUAUUGGUCAAUGGACGCAAGUCUGAACCAGCCACGUCGCGUGAAGGAAGACGGCCCUACGGGUUGUAAACUUCUUUUGUAAGGGAAUAAAGUGUAGUACGUGUACUAUUUUGCAUGUACCUUACGAAUAAGGAUCGGCUAACUCCGUGCCAGCAGCCGCGGUAAUAAU